UACGUAGGGGGCUAGCGUUGUCCGGAAUCAUUGGGCGUAAAGAGCGUGUAGGCGGCCCGGUAAGUCCGCUGUAAAAGUCAAAGGCUCAACCUUUGAAUGUCAGUGGAUACUGCCGGGCUAGAGUCCGGAAGAGGCGAGUGGAACUCCUGGUGUAGCGGUGGAAUGCGCAGAUAUCAGGAGGAACACCUAUAGCGAAGGCAGCUUGCUGGGACGACACUGACGCUGAGGCGCGAAAGCGUGGGGAGCGAACAGG
rnacentral:rRNA from 1 species